AAUGAAUUGCCUGAUGAAAAGGGUCACCUUGAUAGGGUGGAUUAUGUAGUAUACUGCAUUCAUUG
rnacentral:tRNA from 1 species